UACAGAGGGGGCAAGCGUUGUUCGGAAUUACUGGGCGUAAAGGGCGCGUAGGCGGCACAGCAAGUCGGGAGUGAAAGCCCGGGGCUCAACCCCGGAACGGCUUUCGAAACUGCUGAGCUAGAGUACAGAAGGGGCAACCGGAAUUCCCAGUGUAGCGGUGAAAUGCGUAGAUAUUGGGAAGAACACCUGAGGCGAAGGCGGGUUGCUGGGCUGAUACUGACGCUGAGGCGCGAAAGCCAGGGGAGCAAACGGG
rnacentral:rRNA from 1 species